GGACGAACGCUGGCGGCGUGGAUUAGGCAUGCAAGUCGAACGGUAUAAACCUUUCGGGGUUUAGAGAGUGGCGAACGGGUGAGUAACACGUAGGUAAUCUACCCUCAAAACGGGGACAACCCAGGGAAACUUGGGCUAAUACCGGAUGCGUGCAAGCAAUGUUUUGGCUGUUAAUGCUAUUCACGGAAGUGAGUAGUGUUAAUGGUUGAGAGCAUUAUUUGCAUAAAAGGUGGCAUUUGCUGCCGUUUGAGGAUGAGCCUGCGUCCUAUUAGUUAGUUGGUGAGGUAAUGGCUUACCAAGGCGAUGAUAGGUAGGCGGCCUUAACGGGUGGUCGCCCACACUGGGAUUGAGAGACGGCCCAGACUCCUACGGGAGGCAGCAGUCGAGAAUAGUCUACAAUGGACGGAAGUCUGAUAGUGCGACGCCGCGUGAACGAAGAAUCCCUUCGGGGUGUAAAGUUCUUUUAUAUGUGAGCAGUGCCCUUUAUAUUAAUAGUAUAGAGGGAGGGAUUUAAGCGUAUGAAUAAGCAACGGCUAACUCCGUGCCAGCAGCCGCGGUAACACGGGGGUUGCAAGCGUUAUCCGGAUUCACUGGGUUUAAAGGGUGCGCAGGCGGACAUUUAAGUCAGGGGUGAAAUCCUACAGCUUAACUGUAGAACUGCCCUUGAUACUGAAUGCCUAGAGUAAAGCUGAAGUGGGCGGAAUGUGUUGUGUAGCGGUGAAAUGCUUAGAUAUAACACAGAACACCAAUCGCGAAGGCAGCUCACUAAACUUUAACUGACGCUCAUGCACGAAAGCGUGGGGAGCAAACAGGAUUAGAUACCCUGGUAGUCCACGCCCUAAACGAUGAUCACUCGCUGUUGGCGAUAUAUUGUCAGUGGCUAAGCAAAAGUGAUAAGUGAUCCACCUGGGGAGUACGACCGCAAGGUUGAAACUCAAAGGAAUUGACGGGGGCCCGCACAAGCGGAGGAGCAUGUGGUUUAAUUCGAUGAUACGCGAGGAACCUUACCAGGGCUCGAACGCAGGAGGAAUACUCCCGAAAGGAAGUAGCCAGAAAUGGCCGCCUGCGAGGUGCUGCAUGGUUGUCGUCAGCUCGUGCCGUGAGGUGUCAGGUUAAGUCCUAUAACGAGCGCAACCCCUAUUCAUAGUUGCCAGCAUAUUACGGUGGGGACUCUAUGAAAACUGCCUGCGCAAGCAGUGAGGAAGGUGGGGAUGACGUCAAAUCAGCACGGCCCUUAUGUCCUGGGCUACACACGUGCUACAAUGGCCGGUACAGAAGGCCGCAACCACGCAAGUGGAAGCUAAUCCCUAAAACCGGUCUCAGUUCGGAUUGGAGUCUGCAACCCGACUCCAUGAAGCCGGAUUCGCUAGUAAUCGCACAUCAGCCAUGGCGCGGUGAAUACGUUCCCGGGCCU
rnacentral:rRNA from 1 species